CGGAAUGGUUGCCAACUCUCUCAAGAGAGUGAUCCCAGAGACUGAGGCAGAAGCCACGGUGUCUUUUAUGAGCAGGACCCUUUCUGCCGUUCCUACAACAGAUUAUACAGGCAAGCUCCAUUCAGCAUAGGAGGGAACGACCAUGGGUCCCACUUCCAGGAGGUAUGGUGUACCCCUGAAGGCUGGCAGUCUGCAGAGCAGCGGAAACGGGCUGUCACGUGGCUCGAGGAUCGGGAUGAACAGGAGCUGGCUGUACUGACUGACUGAAAUCUGCUCCGGCCAGGUAGGCCAAGUUCUGUCUCCAGUUAAGGGGUGGAGCGAGCCUGUCUUUCCUCCACGAUGCCCAUGUAGCUUCUGCCCACUCUGGCAGGGAAUGGAGGCCUCCUUUGGGCACUGCUGGAUCCUGUUACACUGUCACCGAGAAAGACAAGAACUGUGGGGCUUGUGGCAGGAGACAAUGGCCUCCAUUGAGGAAUUAUGACGCAAAGGAACCAGCAAGCCCACAGCCACCAUUCAGGAAACAAUAGGUGUUUCAAGAGGACCCAGGGGAUGCUCCCAGGAGAGGCAAAGAUGCACAUCACCAGGCCUGGCAUUCCCUCCCCUCUCUCAGGUCUCCGACACUGUGCCAAGAGAAAAAUCUCUCCUGGAUCUGUCUGCAAAGGGGCGGAAGACAGGCUAAGAGACAAUAAAAGCUGCAGGGCAAACGGAGCUGGGAGGACAUGAGGUUGUCUGGGCCAACAACUGAAGAGUAUCACUUGACUUGCAUGAGGUAAAGGCGGGGAGUAUUGGCUUAGUUCCAUCAGACUGCCAACAGUGUGGGCCACAUCAGGAGACAAGAACAACUCAGCAUGCAUUACUACACAGGCAAUCUUUACCGAGGGACUGCUCCCAGCUGAGUGGGACCCAAGAGUCCUGGGACCCUCUUCCUGAAGGAUGACUCAUGGAUGACUUCCAAUACCUGGUCAGGAAGGAAGCCCGCAGAGAUCACUGCAUGGAGCCUCCACUGGACCUGUGUUGAGGGAGGAAGAAAUGGGGUGUGUGUGGUGGAUAACACUCUCCUCCACUUCACCUCAUAUCAUGUCUCCUAUUGGUUGGAUCCAGUCCCAGAAGGAGGACUGGGAAGCUAGGCUCUGUCCCCUGGAAUUGAUGGCAUAGUAUCUGUCAGCCAUGUCUCCCUCCUCCUCUGGCCCUUUCCUCUCACCCUUUCCCUUGCAUGGGAUCUACUCCCUUCUUUGCCCCAUAAGGUGAGAUUGAGUAGAGGAGAAUGGUGACAGAGCCCCCAGAACGGUUUACAGUGCCUGAGUCACUGCCGCCUUAUACUCAACAGGCACUUGACAUACGUUUGCUGAAGGAAGUCAAAGAGGAGAGCCCAGACAGACAGAAGAUGUGGAAUGAUGUGCUGCCCCAAAGCAGACUCUAGGAUUGCUACUUUCUUGACUUUCACAAGCAAGGAAGGAAGCGGGAAGAGGGAGAGGAGAAACCGGUGGCUUCUCCAACCCCAGAGGGAGCCAGUCCACACCGUAACUCCUCAGGAACCUAACUGGAAACAGAAGAAUAAAAGCCGGAAUGAUCUGAGGAAGGAUAGGAGCCUCAAUGUGAGGGCUCCUCUGGGCUGUCAACUUGACUACAUCUGGAAUCAACUAAAACCCAAGUAGCUUGCCAUACUUGUGGAGGAAGUUUUAGAUCUUUUGAGGCAGGCUGUGCCACCUUAAAUCUGGAUCAUUUGCAGAUCAUUGAAGGCCUACUCUAAAUGUGAGCCACACCUUCUGUGGCAGCCCACAGAAGAGGGCAUGGAAGAAGGACGGGUUGCUUUUCGCCGGCUUGUCCUUACUCCUGCUGGCAAGUUCAUCUGUACUACUGCUGCUGCUGAGGCAUUCCUUUGCUGGGGUUAGAACCUACUUCUUUGGGAUUCCAAUGUAGACUGAAGACCAGCUGAGACACUCAGCCUUGUAGAAUGAACAACUACCAUAUUCUCUCUUGGGAGACAAGUCAUUGUCAGACUAGUCAGACCACAGCCUGUAAACUCCUCUAAUAAAGCACACAACACACACACACACACACACACACACACACACACACACACUCAUUCUAUAUGUUCUGUUCCUCUAGAGAACCCUGAUUAGUACAACCAUUCAUUCUAACUAGAGUCUGACAUGUGCAUCCCUGCAUUCGUAUCUGUUUUCUGGACUAGUUCUGAUUUACAGAUGGUGAACCUGGAGGCGGAGCUCAGCUCUGCCCACUUCCAAGCCCACGGCUCUCUGCGGACACUACCCUGCACUCCGUCUCUCCCCAUGAUUAUCUCCAGAUCCUCAGUUCUACUGCAUUCUGUCUCUCCUGAUUAUCUCCAGACCUGCGGUCCUGUUAGUCAGCAGCUGCCUGCAGAUGGGAUUGCCGGGUUACUAAGACAGUAAAGAAAGGGCGAGGCGAGCCUUCUGUCUGUUUAAAAUCCUUGCAGCCCUUUGCUUGCUGUUUUGAAAUGGUCUUGGAUGUGGUGUUUGGGAGGGGACCCAAAUGUCUGGCAGGAACUUUUCAGUCUCUGGAAUUGGAGGGACCACCAGACUUCCAGCUGCAGGGGAUGGUCUGCCCAGUAACAGUGUGAAAAUGCCCAAAGGAAGGGCUCUCCAUUUCUCCUCGGGUGUGCCUAAAGGGACAUCACCUCCCCUUAGUUUCAAGACCUCGAAUCAGACAACACGGGCUCCUACCCACCAGUCACCGGCCAGGAGAGAGAUCAGCACAGGGUGGUGAGCUCAGCCUCCCUGAAGCUCAGCCAAUGACAGCUUCCUGACAGGCGAAGAGAAGAGCAGAAGCUGGGAAGUCAAACAACAGCAUCGUCUAACGGUCCAGCACAGACAAGGCUCCUUUCAAAGCUUGUGCAGAGACGACCUGGAGGUUUGUUGAAGACAUCAGUCCUGACCCCACAGGCCUGGGAUGGACAUUUGGUCCUAUGUUUUUGACAAACUCCACAGAGAGGGCAGGAUGGCUGGCCAAACAGGUACAUCGAGCAAAUCACCACACAAUAUCAUGUAUUCCUUUUAUGUUAUUACGUAAAAUUUGACAUCUUGGCCUGGUGAGAUGGCUCAGAGGGGCGAAAGACACUUACCACCAAGCCUGAUGGCCUAAGUGCCUUCUACAUAGCAGGAGGAAAGGAGUGACCUCUGUGACUUCUUCGCUGGCCUCCACAUGUGCUUUUGUGACGUGUAUGCCCCAACCUCAGUGUAAUAAACAGUGUUUUUAAA